GCUGGAUUCGCUAGUAAUCGCGCAUCAGCCAUGGCGCGGUGAAUACGUUCCCGGGCCCUUGUACACACCGCCCGUCAAGCCAUGGGAGCCGGGGGUGCUUGAAGUGCGUCGCCGCAAGGCGCGCCCUAGAGCAAAACCGGUGACUGGGGCUAAGUCGUAACAAGGUACC
rnacentral:rRNA from 1 species